AGAAGUUACAAUAAAACUAUACAUUUAACAUAUCUACUACUUCUGAAGAAGCCCCAGAUUGGGCGAAACGCGUUAAGUAAGAGAUUUGUUAUUAACUUCUUUUAUUAUAUCUUUUUAUUUUGUGUUAAUAAAGUUAUAGUUUUUACUACUUUAUUUGCUGUUCCUGAUACAUCUUGAAUCCUGACCUAUAUCCUUUGCUGGGGAUUAUACCACCACAUGCCUAUACCAGAGCAAGAUAUUUGCUCUGAAAUUUCUAAGUAGGAUACUUUUCCUUUAUUUGCUCAUUUUUUAAUAGAUAUACUAUACCAUUGGAUUUUAUCUUUUUUUUUUUUUAUAUAUAUAUACCACUCUGGAGGAUUGGAC